CUCGAUUGUUUCCAGAUAUUUUGGCGUUUGGCGCGCUGAUGCUGGAGCCUUUUCAAAUCAAGGCGAUCCGAAAAGAUUUUUUCAGAAUUCUCACUGGAGUGUUGCUCUAGGUACGGCGCAAUAAUGGCUCUGUCAGCAUUCAGCCGCUUUCAGCCACCUGCCAUGGUGAGUGGGACACGCGGCGAGUGUAGGUUGGCCAG
rnacentral:lncRNA from 1 species